AGAGUUUGAUCAUGGCUCAGGAUGAACGCUAGCGGCAGGCUUAACACAUGCAAGUCGAGGGGUAACAGGUUCCUUCGGGAAUGCUGACGACCGGCGCACGGGUGAGUAACGCGUGGAUAAUCUACCCAUGGAUUGGGGAUAACCCUGCGAAAGCGGGGCUAAUACCUGAUAGUCUGGUCAUUAUAUAGAUGAUCGGUAAAGGUGGCCUCUGAUACAAGCUACUGUCCGUGGAUGAGUCCGCGUCUCAUUAGCUGGUUGGUGGGGUAAUGGCCUACCAAGGCGACGAUGAUUAGCUGGUCUGAUAGGAUGAUCAGCCACACUGGGACUG
rnacentral:rRNA from 1 species